rnacentral:lncRNA from 1 species
UAUAUAUUUAGUCACUCAAGUAAAGGAAAUGCCUCCCGUUUCACUCAGGAGAGCCUUUAUUCUUUAUUUUUCUGGGCUUAGUGACACGGCAAACAAAGUGAACAAUCUUGAACGUGGUCUCAUUCCAUGGCAUGCGAGUCUACCAAAUUGGCCAAUACGGCCUGCUGUUGCUUGUCAAUCCACACCUACGGAACCCACUCCCCUUUAUCUCUGCUCGCUGUUGAUUGGAAGGGCCCGGGCUGCAACGUGUGAGGCCGGCCAUUUCGUAUACCUAGAAAUAUUUGGGGCGUGACUUGUCCCCCGUGCGGUGUAAAUUAGUAAAAUACAACCGCGAAAUUCAUGCAUGCCUGAAAAGCAAGGUACAAGCGCAAGCUCAUACUGCACAGUGUCAAUAUGUAUACUACGUAUGUAAUUAACUUUGCUGCACUCCAUGUGCAUGAUAAAACAACAUGCCGAUCAGCCUUGCAAAUAUAAAUAGAAGACGAUCAGGUGCCCGGAUGGCUCAGCAAAUCAAAUCUUCCGCGCAUGGCAUUCCGCUUGAGUUUCAAGAGUUGGUGACAGGUGUGCCUAGCGUUUCCGAUACUACUCUGCUUGCCCGGCAUUUGGCUCAGGCAUUGAACAACCACAUGCACAGAAAGUGGGCUUAAUCAAGCAUGUAUAUAUAUCACUGAAGGACUAUCCCGCCUCAGAUCCACAGCACUAUAAACAGUGCGAACUGCGUACAAUGCACCGAUGGCCGAGAUCACACGCAUAUGAAUACGAAUACGCUGUACUACCUAUGAACCUAUGAACCUAUGAACAGGGUUUAAUCAUUUAAGCAUAAUCGCACCUCUUG